rnacentral:rRNA from 1 species
CCUACGGGAGGCAGCAGUGGGGAAUAUUGCACAAUGGGCGCAAGCCUGAUGCAGCAACGCCGCGUGAGGGACGAAGGCCUUCGGGUUGUAAACCUCUUUUAGCAGGGAAGAAGCGAAAGUGACGGUACCUGCAGAAAAAAGCACCGGCUAACUACGUGCCAGCAGCCGCGGUAAUACGUAGGGUGCAAGCGUUGUCCGGAAUUAUUGGGCGUAAAGAGCUCGUAGGCGGUUUGUCGCGUCUGCUGUGAAAACCCGAGGCUCAACCUCGGACCUGCAGUGGGUACGGAUAGACUAGAGUGCGGUAGGGGAGAUUGGAAUUCCUGGUGUAGCGGUGGAAUGCGCAGAUAUCAGGAGGAACACCGAUGGCGAAGGCAGAUCUCUGGGCCGUAACUGACGCUGAGGAGCGAAAGCAUGGGGAGCAAACAGGCUUAGAUACCCUGGUAGUCCAUGCGUAACGUUAGGUACGUAGAUAGUGGGACGACUACCUACGUCGUCCGUCGUCGUGUCGUACGCAUAACGUUCCCGUCCGUCGGGUAGGUACGGCCGGCGACGGACGAAACGUACGUAAGGUAAGUUAGUUACGGCGUGAGACGUGCCGACGGCGACGACGAGGGAGGAGG